rnacentral:tRNA from 3 species
GGGCGAUUAGCUCAGUUGGUCAGAGCACCUGCCUUACAAGCAGGGGGUCGCUGGUUCGAGCCCGGCAUCGCCCACCA